UCUUCCAACGAUAAAAUAGUUGAUAAACUAACUGAAA
rnacentral:sRNA from 1 species